AACGCUCGGAGAGCGAAAGUGCGCAUGCGCCACAGCCCCGCGCAACUGAAAGUUAAAGUUAAACCCGAGACUGACUCCAAGUGGAAUCACAUAUUACAGAGCCCCAAAGAUGUCUCUUUCAAAGCCUGCAGUGAAGAGAAAGAUAUUUGAGAACAUUGGAAUGUUUUAUCAGCGCUUUUCUUGUGGAAAUCCUGAUGCGGCCCAGCCUCACCCAGACUCUGCCUCCACCGGCCCCCAGAAACGGUGACGGCAUCUUUCGCAUACAGAUAUUUGAGGAUCAACGAUUAAGCCCCGCUCAUCAACCCCAAAUGCAAAGUACCCUAGAUGCACAAUACGUGACUGUUUGGUGUUUUUCUUUUCAACAAAUGGAGGUGCUGCUAUUGCUGCAGUUGUAGAUGACGCCAAUGCGCGUGCCACUGCCAUGUUGCAUGCUGUGAGAGCACAUGUAGCAGGGAAGCACGUCAUCAGAUGCUGCGUGGGUUGCUAGAUAACCGCUCAUUUACACACCCCUAAACAAAACAAAAGAGGCAGCCUCAUCUCCCUCCUUCCUUUGUUACCAAUGUUACUUCGGGCAUUGCUGAAAAGGCAGUACCGUCAUUUUUUAGAAAAUUGCCUUCGACUUGGUACCAAAGUAUCGGUUCUCGUUACAACCUAGUGGCGAGAAGGGAAAAAUUGUUGAUGUGACCACAGAAAAUCUUAUAAAUUAACAACAAUGGUAAAUAUGAAACUUUUUUAAGUGUAUGUAAGUGAAGGGUUGCCAUAUUGGCCAGGGCCAGCCUUGCAAAAUAACCACAAUGUUCUCUACGCCAAAUGCUUAGUGUUUCUUUUACACGUUUGUGAUAGACUGAUAUAUUAAUUUUUCAAGGCCGAUACUGAUUAGUAACUAGGCCCAAUAACUGAUGUUUGGAGCCAAUAUUUUUUUGCGGUACAGGGAACAUUUUCCCGUUAACAUUUUUAAUUAUUCAAACGACUUAAUUUCCUGUAAAUGGCUUUAAGCACAUGUAAAUGUUUGUUUAAUACAAUACAAUUCAAUCCGUAGAGAAGAUACCAACUUUUAAUUGUAACACAAAGCACAGGGAGCUGCAAAGCUCAGCAGCAUGUCUUAUAAAGUUAAAUGAAACUGUAAUAAAUGAAUAACUCCCUAAAAUGUUCCAGUCCAACUUAAGUUUUAAAACAUUCAAUACAAGUUAAAUUUUAAUCUCUCAAUUACAACUAUUAUCUUUGAAUGAAGUACACAAACAAUUUAUCCCCAAAGCAGCUACUGGCCAACAGGUCACCAGUGUGAUGUGCCUUUAGACAUCUUAACAUCUCAAGUAACCUAUUCAUGAUUGUUUAUCAGACUUCAGAUUAAUAUUAAAAAUAAAAGUCGAUGCAAACAUGAACCAAAAUGUGGCGUAUCCGCCCCAAUAGGCUGAUUAUCUAUGACUAACAUCGCAGCAUUUGCAUUGGGGCUAUGUGGACUUUCCAUGUUUUCCCUGAGUCUGUGUUGGUUAUCUCUGGGUUCUGCGGUUUUCUCCCACAUUCUAAAAAUAUGCAUGGCAGUGUGCUGGCAUCCAUUUCCAUUUCGCAUUCCAUUUCUCAUCUAAAAGUCAGCUAGGAUCGGCUCCAGCACACCUGGAACUUUAGUGAGGCUAAGUGGUACAGAGAAUAAGAUCAUGAGCAUGACAAUAUUACAAUUUACAGGUACCAAACAUGUAUGCAUUUUAGUUCACUUUGAGAUGAUAGAUAAAUUGGAUUGUAGCUAUGAUUAUUAACGUAUAACAAAAUACAUUCAAAUAUAGAGAUUUUUCUAGAUAAAUUAAAGGCCCGCUUAAAUGGACGUUAAUGCAAUAAAUGGGUAAGAAUAAUAAAAAGGAAAUAUUGGAAUGUGUAUUAAAAAACCUUUCCUGAAUGUAAAUCAGAUGCGUGCAUCUGGCAUCAAAGCGUAGCGAUCCGGUUAUCUAAAUUGUCAUGUGGUCAGUUUAUAUGAAUUGAUAUGGUCACUUUUUCAACAUCAUAUUUUGAUAGGUAGUAGUUAAUAUCCAAAUCUCUUUUUAACAUAGUAUAAACAAAAUAUUUUUGGUAAAAGCAGUGUGUAUAUUGUGCAUAUCCAUAAGUUAAUUUUAAAUAACAAAAUGACCGCUAUAGAAUUUCAUUUCUUAUCUAAAAUUCAGCUAGGAUA